rnacentral:rRNA from 1 species
GACGAACGCUGGCGGCGUGCUUAACACAUGCAAGUCGAACGGAAAGGCCCUGCUUUGGUGGGGUGCUCGAGUGGCGAACGGGUGAGUAACACGUGAGUAACCUGCCCUUGACUUUGGGAUAACUUCAGGAAACUGGGGCUAAUACCGGAUAGGAGCUCCUGCUGCAUGGUGGGGGUUGGAAAGUUUCGGCGGUUGGGGAUGGACUCGCGGCUUAUCAGCUUGUUGGUGGGGUAGUGGCUUACCAAGGCUUUGACGGGUAGCCGGCCUGAGAGGGUGACCGGCCACAUUGGGACUGGGAUGCGGCCCAGACUCCUACGGGAGGCAGCAGUGGGGAAUAUUGCACAAUGGGCGGAAGCCUGAUGCAGCAACGCCGCGUGCGGGAUGACGGCCUUCGGGUUGUAAACCGCUUUCGCCUGUGACGAAGCGUGAGUGACGGUAAUGGGUAAAGAAGCACCGGCUAACUACGUG